rnacentral:rRNA from 3 species
UGUACACACCGCCCGUCACACCACGAGAGUUUGUAACACCCGAAGUCGGUGAGGUAACCUUUUGGAGCCAGCCGCCUAAGGUGGGAUAGAUGAUUGGGGUGAAGUCGUAACAAGGUAGCCGUAUCGGAAGGUGCGGCUGGAUCACCUCCUUUCUAAGGAA